rnacentral:tRNA from 1 species
AAGAUGUUAGUAAUAAAAUUACAUUACCUUGUCAAGAUAAAAUCAUGAGUUAAACCCUCAUACAUCUUA